CGCAAGAGGAGCCUGGAGACAGGUGCUGCAUGGCUGUCGUCAGCUCGUGUCGUGAGAUGUUGGUUAAGUCCCGCAACGAGCGCAACCCUUGCUUUAGUUGCCAUCAUUCAGUUGGCACUCUAAAGAGACUGCCGGUGUCAAACCGGAGGAAGGUGGGGAUGACGUCAAGUCCUCAUGGCCUUUAUGACCAGGGCUACACACGUACUACAAUGGCCGGUACAAAGGGCAGCCACUUAGCGAUAAGGAGCCAAUCCCGUAAAGCCGGUCUCAGUCCGGAUUGGAGUCUGCAACUCGACUCCAUGAAGUUGGAAUCGCUGGUAAUCGCAGAUCAGCACGCUGCGGUCGAAUACGUUCCCGGGCCUU
rnacentral:rRNA from 1 species